rnacentral:rRNA from 1 species
AACGAACGCUGGCGGCAUGCCUAACACAUGCAAGUCGAACGAUGCUUUCGGGCCUAGUGGCGCACGGGUGCGUAACGCGUGGGAAUCUGCCCUUGGGUUCGGAAUAACAGUGAGAAAUUGCUGCUAAUACCGGAUGAUGUCUUCGGACCAAAGAUUUAUCGCCCAGGGAUGAGCCCGCGUAGGAUUAGCUAGUUGGUGGGGUAAUGGCCUACCAAGGCGACGAUCCUUAGCUGGUCUGAGAGGAUGAUCAGCCACACUGGGACUGAGACACGGCCCAGACUCCUACGGGAGGCAGCAGUGGGGAAUAGUGGACAAUGGGCGCAAGCCUGAUCCAGCAAUGCCGCGUGAGUGAUGAAGGCCUUAGGGUUGUAAAGCUCUUUUACCCGGGAUGAUAAUGACAGUACCGGGAGAAUAAGCUCCGGCUAACUCCGUG